UUACAUCUUUCCGUUUUAGGUACACAUUGU
rnacentral:piRNA from 1 species